GCAUAACGCGAAGAACCUUACCAGGGCUUGACAUCCCUCUGACCCCUCCUAGAGAUAGAGGUUCCCUUUCCGGGGCAGAGGUGACAGGUGGUGCAUGGUUGUCGUCAGCUCGUGUCGUGAGAUGUUGGGUUAAGUCCCGCAACGAGCGCAACCCUUGUCCUUAGUUGCCAGCAUUUAGUUUGGGGCACUCUAAGGAGACUGCCGUCGACAAGACGGAGGAAGGGUGGGGAUGACGUCAAAUCAUCAUGCCCCUUAUGUCCUGGGCUACACACGUGCUACAAUGGAUGGUACAACGGGCUGCGAACUCGCGAGAGUAAGCCAAUACCCAAAAAACCAUUCUCAGUUCGGAUUGUAGGCUGCAACUCGCCUACAUGAAGUCGGAAUCGCUAGUAAUCGCGGAUCAGCAUGCCGCGGUGAAUACGUUCCCGGGUCUUGUACACACCG
rnacentral:rRNA from 1 species